rnacentral:lncRNA from 1 species
CCGCGAUGGAUCUGAUUGGCUAGGAGGGGUUAUGAACGUCAUGAAUACGUAAUCGAAACAGGACAGUUGACUAAUAUAAAUAGAGGGUGCUGUACAAAACGAGCGAAAUAGGCGAGCAGCUCUGGACAAUUGACUUAGUCGCCUAGGAAGUGUAUGAGUGCUAGCGGUUCACUCGUAGAGUUACCACCUCCCAGAAAGCCUGGAAGUAAAGAUUCCCCUCAUCAGGUAAGUUUUUUUUUUUUUUUUUUUUUUUUUUUUUUUUUUUUUUUUUUACCAGUUUUGCUAAGCGCGUGGUGUCACUCUUUCUCGGUCACUAACGGGUAGUUAAGUGGUGAUGUUGACAGGGUCACUUGCAUACUUAAGUGGAUGAAAGGAUAAUAAAUCUUUUUUUUUUUUUUUUUUUUUUUUCUGA